CCAUUGGCGCCAAAUGGCGCUGAAUUUUUAAAUGUGGCUCCAAUUUUUUAAAAGUGGCGAAUUUCAAAAAAUCGGUAAAAUCCUAUCCGAAAAUGUACUGCGAGUCGAAAUCACGCGACCGAGCAUUAGCGGCCAGCGUCUGUCAGUUGUAAAUAUUGAUUUACGACGAUGUAAGCGACCUACAGUGCAGAGUGCAUUAGAAAUCACCGAAGCGUGUAAGUGUUACAAACGGUGUUUUUACUGCUAUUGUCAAGUUUUAUGGGGGUUAUUAUCGGAUUAACGGCUCCUUUAUGAUAUUGAGCAAUAAGUUAAGUAACACGGGGACAAACUGUCACGACGAUCAAUAAUUAUAAUGAUUAUUAGGGCCGCUAUUUCUUUGUUAAAAUCAAAACCAUGGGGCUGGCAAAAGCAUUUAAUUUCUCCACAUCAACAAAUAAAAACUUGUUUCAACAGGCAACUAGAAUGGAUGGUGGCAAUUAUCUGGGCCUUUCUGUCAGGAAAAAGGCAUGAACAACAGUCAUUUAAUUGAACCUGGAAAUCAUCCACCACUAACAGAAAACUUGUUAACAACAGAAGCUGAUGUAUAUCAUGUCCAAAUGACCAAAUAUAACUGUUAAACACUUUGAAGUGAGAUGCUUUAUUUUCUGAUUCCCUUUCAAAUGAUGAACAUUGGUGUGAUUUUAUGUUUAAAUAAUUAAUUUCGAAACAUUUAUGCAGCAUACUGUUUAAUACAUUGAUGUUAACAUUAUUAUAUUAUUUUGGUUAUCUGUGUUGUUUAUCAAGUUGAAAAAAAUGUUAUUUAUAUACAAAUAAAGCUUAUUAAGACUUA